ACGAACGCUGGCGGCAUGCCUAACACAUGCAAGUCGAACGAAGCCUUCGGGCUUAGUGGCGCACGGGUGCGUAACGCGUGGGAAUCUGCCCUUGGGUUCGGAAUAACAGUUAGAAAUGACUGCUAAUACCGGAUGAUGUCUUCGGACCAAAGAUUUAUCGCCCAAGGAUGAGCCCGCGUAGGAUUAGGUAGUUGGUGGGGUAAAGGCCUACCAAGCCGACGAUCCUUAGCUGGUCUGAGAGGAUGAUCAGCCACACUGGGACUGAGACACGGCCCAGACUCCUACGGGAGGCAGCAGUGGGGAAUAUUGGACAAUGGGGGCAACCCUGAUCCAGCAAUGCCGCGUGAGUGAUGAAGGCCUUAGGGUCGUAAAGCUCUUUUACCAGGGAUGAUAAUGACAGUACCUGGAGAAUAAGCUCCGGCUAACUCCGU
rnacentral:rRNA from 1 species